AGUGAACGCUGGCGGUAGGCCUAACACAUGCAAGUCGAACGGCAGCACAGUAAGAGCUUGCUCUUACGGGUGGCGAGUGGCGGACGGGUGAGGAAUACAUCGGAAUCUACUUUUUCGUGGGGGAUAACGUAGGGAACCUAAGCCAAAAACCCAUACGACCUAAGGGGGAAAACAGGGGAACCUUGGAACCUGCGCGGUUGGAUGAGCCGAUGUCGGAUUAGCUAGUUGGCGGGGUAAAGGCCCACCAAGGCGACGAUCCGUAGCUGGUCUGAGAGGAUGAUCAGCCACACUGGAACUGAGACACGGUCCAGACUCCUACGGGAGGCAGCAGUGGGGAAUAUUGGACAAUGGGCGCAAGCCUGAUCCAGCCAUACCGCGUGGGUGAAGAAGGCCUUCGGGUUGUAAAGCCCUUUUGUUGGGAAAGAAAAGCAGCAGGUUAAUACCCCGCUGUUCUGACGGCACCCAAAGAAUAAGCACCGGCUAACUUCGUG
rnacentral:rRNA from 1 species